AAGUCGUAACAAGGUUUCCGUAGGUGAACCUGCGGAAGGAUCAUUAACACUUAUUUUUAGUUGCCUAAUCAACAAAUAAAAAAAGCAAUAAUAGGCAUAAAGAGGAGCGAGAACCAAUAGCAAUAUUGGAUUUUGCUUUCUUUAUUUUGCCCUAUUAUUGUUUUUUGUUUAGUCCCAAUAGCACAUUUGUGAAAACAAAAAAGGAAUUUGGUGUAGUGAGACCCCUUAAGUUAAUUACAUGCUAGACAUAGAAGGAUUGAAAUAUGUAUAGUAUGUAAUUACUCAUUUGUUUAACCCCAUUGACCCAAUGCAAUAAAAAGAGUCGUUUCUUUUUGAUUCCUAACAAAAAAACAAAAUUGGAUAAUUCCUUUAAUUAAUGAAACAAAAUAAGAGAACAACUCUUAACAAUGGAUAUCUUGGUUCUCGC
rnacentral:misc_RNA from 1 species